GAUGAAGAACGUAGCGAAAUGCGAUAAGUAGUGUGAAUUGCAGAAUUCAGUGAAUCAUCGAAUCUUUGAACGCACAUUGCGCCCCUCGGUAUUCCGGGGGGCAUGCCUGUCCGAGCGUCAUUGCUGCCCUCAAGCACGGCUUGUGUGUUGGGCCCCGUCCUCCGAUUCCGGGGGACGGGCCCGAAAGGCAGCGGCGGCACCGCGUCCGGUCCUCGAGCGUAUGGGGCUUUGUCACCCGCUCUGUAGGCCCGGCCGGCGCUUGCCGAUCAACCCAAAUUUUUAUCCAGGUUGACCUCGGAUCAGGUAGGGAUACCCGCUGAACUUAAGCAUAUCAAUAAGCGGAGGA
rnacentral:misc_RNA from 1 species